rnacentral:rRNA from 1 species
CCCGCUCAGAAACUACAAGGAAUUGACGGGGGCCCCGCACAAGCGGUGGAGCAUGUGGUUUAAUUCGAUGAUACGCGAGGAACCUUACCUGGGCUCAAAUGUAUGUUGACGUAUUCUGAAAGGGAUACUUCUUCGGACAAUAUACAAGGUGCUGCAUGGUUGUCGUCAGCUCGUGCCGUGAGGUGUCGGGUUAAGUCCCAUAACGAGCGCAACCCCUAUCAUUAGUUGCCAUCAGGUCAAGCUGGGGACUCUAAUGAAACUGCCUACGCAAGUAGUGAGGAAGGUGGGGAUGACGUCAAAUCAGCACGGCCCUUACGUCCAGGGCUACACACGUGCUACAAUGGCCGAUACAGAGGGCAGCUACCUGGUGACAGGAUGCAAAUCUCCAAAGUCGGUCUCAGUUCGGAUCGGAGUCUGCAACCCGACUCCGUGAAGUUGGAUUCGCUAGUAAUCGCGCAUCAGCCAUGGCGCGGUGAAUACGUUCCCGGGCCUU